rnacentral:rRNA from 1 species
GAGUUUGAUCCUGGCUCAGAGCGAACGUUAGCGGCGGGCCUAACACAUGCAAGUCGAACGAGAAAGUGCUUCGGCAUGAGUAAAGUGGCGGACGGGCGCGUAACACGUGGGGAAUCUUCCUUUAGGUGGUGGAUAACAAUCCGAAAGGAUUGCUAAUACAGCAUAAGUCGGCGAGGACUCCGGUCCUUGCCGGGAAAGACGGCGCAAGCUGUCGCCUGAAGACGACCCCGCGUCCCAUCAGCUAGUUGGUGAGGUAACGGCUCACCAAGGCUUAGACGGGUAGCUGGUCUGAGAGGAUGAUCAGCCACACUGGAACUGCGACACGGUCCAGACUCCUACGGGAGGCAGCAGUGGGGAAUAUUGGGCAAUGGGCGCAAGCCUGACGACGCAACGCCGCGUGGAGGAUGAAGACCUUCGGGUCGUAAACUCCUUUCGGUCGAGACGAAUGGCCUCCGGGUGAACAAUCCGGAGGAGUGACGGUACCGAGAGAAGAAGCCCCGGCUAACUCCGUGCCAGCAGCCGCGGUAAUACGGGGGGGGCAAGCGUUGUUCGGAAUUACUGGGCGUAAAGGGCUCGUAGGCGGCCAACUAAGUCGGACGUGAAAUCCCUCGGCUUAACCGGGGAACUGCGUCCGAUACUGGAUGGCUUGAGAUCGGGAGAGGGAUGCGGAAUUCCAGGUGUAGCGGUGAAAUGCGUAGAUAUCUGGAGGAACACCGGUGGCGAAGGCGGCAUCCUGGACCAAUACUGACGCUGAGGAGCGAAAGCCAGGGGAGCAAACGGGAUUAGAUACCCCGGUAGUCCUGGCCCUAAACGAUGAAUGCUUGGUGUGGCGGGUAUCGAUCCCUGCCGUGCCGAAGCUAACGCAUUAAGCAUUCCGCCUGGGGAGUACGGUCGCAAGGCUGAAACUCAAAGGAAUUGACGGGGGCCCGCACAAGCGGUGGAGCAUGUGGUUCAAUUCGACGCAACGCGAAGAACCUUACCCAGGCUUGAACAGCGAGUGACCACUCCCGAAAGGGAGCUUCCGCAAGGACACUCGUAGAGGUGCUGCAUAGCUGUCGUCAGCUCGUGUCGUGAGAUGUUGGGUUAAGUCCCGCAACGAGCGCAACCCCCGUCUCAUGUUGCCAGCAUUCAGUUGGGGACUCAUGAGAGACUGCCGGUGACAAACCGGAGGAAGGUGGGGAUGACGUCAAGUCAUCAUGCCCCUUAUGUCCAGGGCUACACACGUGCUACAUUGGCGCAUACAGAGGGUUGCAAUACCGCGAGGUGGAGCGAAUCCCAAAAAGUGCGUCUCGGUUCGGAUUGGAGGCUGAAACUCGCCUCCAUGAAGGUGGAGUUGCUAGUAAUCGCGGAUCAGCAACGCCGCGGUGAAUACGUUCCCGGGCCUUGUACACAC